UACGUAGGGCGCAAGCGUUAUCCGGAAUUAUUGGGCGUAAAGAGCUCGUAGGCGGUUUGUCGCGUCUGCCGUGAAAGUCCGGGGCUCAACUCCGGAUCUGCGGUGGGUACGGGCAGACUAGAGUGAUGUAGGGGAGACUGGAAUUCCUGGUGUAGCGGUGAAAUGCGCAGAUAUCGUCAAGAACACCUAUUGCGAAGGCAGCUAACUAAGCUUUAACUGACGCUGAUGCACGAAAGUGUGGGGAUCAAACAGG
rnacentral:rRNA from 1 species